rnacentral:rRNA from 1 species
CCCUUAGAUGUCCUGGGCCGCACGCGCGCUACACUGAUGCAUUCAACGAGUUUUACCUUGGCCGAGAGGCCGGGGCAAUCUUUUAAACCUGCAUCGUGAUAGGGAUAGAUUAUUGCAAUUAUUAAUCUUGAACGAGGAAUUCCUAGUAAACGCAGAUCAUCAAUCUGCAUUGAUUACGUCCCUGCCCUUUGUACACACCGCCCGUCGCACCUACCGAUUGAAUGGUCCGGUGAAGCCUCGGGAUUGUGGCCAGUUCACUUUAUUGGGAGUUGGCUGCGAGAACUUGUCUAAACCUUAUCAUUUAGAGGAAGGUGAAGUCGUAACA